rnacentral:rRNA from 1 species
GUCAACGGCCAUACCACACUGAACCUACCGGUUCUCGUCCGAUCCCCGCAGUCAAGCAGUGUUGGGCCUGGUUAGUGUACUUGGAUGGGUGACCGCCUG